rnacentral:misc_RNA from 1 species
GAGAGUUCAGGGUUUUAACAGUGUGGGUUUUGUGCUCUUUGAGAGAGAGAGAGAAUUUUCCCAAUUCUCAAAACGACGUUGUUUUUUUGGCUGGCUCCGCUGCCUGAUAACUACGCUGUGUUGUCCGCAUAGAAACUCCUCUCCAGUUCCACCCCGGGGUCCAGUGCUCCACCCUCUCGGCCCGCUUGUCUCCUCUCAUUCUCUAAACUCUCCCUAAAACCCUAACACCACCGCCCGCCACUACCGCCACAAACGUUCCCCCUUCACCAUUGGUCUUCGCCUCCCACUCACCAUUUCCAUGUUCGUCUAGCCCGCUUGAACGUCAAUAAAAGCAUUAGCGAAAUAAAAGAGGGGAAACGACUUGAACGUCCGGUUACCGACUCCACUAACCUGAUACGCAUAUAAAAAUCGAUAGCUAAGAAAUGCGAUAUAUUCUCUG